GUAUGUAGUGGUACUACACAUUGUACCCAACUUUAUGAAUCUUCUUUGCCUGAAAUCCUCCUCACUUUCCUCAGAGAAUUUCUCAAGCAUUACAUCUUUGACAACUUUGCUUGGCAGCCUCAUUGACCGGCCAAACAUUUCUUCAAUCUGUUCUUGUUGAUCACAAGAACCAAGUUGCUUGAACAAACAAUUGACUUACAUAGGCGUCUUUGACUGAAGAGCUUUUUUUGUCAACUCCUAGAAUAAGCGAACUUGUGUAAUUACUGGAGCUUUAUUAAACAGCUCCGUGAACGUUUUCUUUCUCAAAUCUUCCUAGUUUUCCCCUUCAAGACUUUCGAUUAUAACAGCUUGAGCAGAAAUUUUGAUAUACAUUUGUUCAGUCUUGUCUUGCUGGUCCUUGGAGGAUAGUAGGCUGGACACAUAACUCGAGAGCUGUGAGAGUAGUGCAGCAGCAUUUGCAGAAUGUUGGGGCUGAAGUACAUCCCUUCUGGAAGAUGUUUUCGUUGGUGUAGUAGCUUCUUUUCAACUUUGUCUAGGAAGUGAACUUGGACACCAAGUCAAUUACUAUCUCGCAAAGCACUGUGAAUCUUCUGAGUUUGAAAUCCGCCUCACUUUCAUGUUCGAGUUUCUCAAAUAUAGCACUUUUAACUCCAUGAUAGAGUUGUUCAAUCAGCUGCAAUUGAACCGGGAACUUUGUCCCUUGAACCAAAUAAUCGAGAAAUCCAAGAAAACUCAGCAAAUCAAAACUGCCGGCGUCUAGUCUCCUGAACGAAGAAAUUAACUCCGCAAACUGCCUUUCACGCUUGAAUUUCCUUAUAACUUGCGAUGGGAAAAAAUUCAUCUCAGGGAAUGGCAGUUUGUUGAAUAGCUCUGUGAAGGGUCUGAGUUGGAGAUCCUCUUCACUUUCCUUCUGGUGCUGCUCGAGUAGUGUAACAGCUCGAUCAACUAGUAUGGAUUUCUUCCGUCUUCUCUCUUCGACCAAUGGCAGAAAGUCGACUGUAUGCAAAGAUUGAAAGGUGUAACAAUGUACUAGUGUUAUGGGGCUCAUCAGCUACCAUUUACUUCCAGACAGACAUUAUUCAGAUGGUUUUCUCUCUUUACAUUUGAAUGAAAAUCUGAUGAAUGAUUAGGUAUGUACAAAAAAGCCUUAGCUAUAUGGUUGUGGAUGAAUCUCAACCAAACCCAGGGCAUAAAAGUUGUUGACUACCAAAUAUUAACCAUCUUAAACCAUUCGUCUCA